ACCCGAAAUGGUAAACCCUGGGAAACCAGGGGGCGCAAAACCAAUGGGCCCUGAGCGAAGUCCUGAGUGAAGUCAAAGGAUGAGUUGGAUGGGCAGCCGGUUGCCGAUA
rnacentral:ncRNA from 1 species